AGAGAGAGAGAGAGAGAGAGAGAGAGAGAGUGAGAGAGAGAGAGAGAGAGAGAGAGAGUGAGGUCCAGCGAGAGAGAGAGAGAGAGAGAGAGUGAGGUCCAGCGAGAGAGAGAAGAAAGAGAGAGCUCGAGUUCCAGAGUCCCAGAGAGAGAAGCCUGUACUCAUUUUUCUUGCACGCGUGCCACAGCUGUGGUCGCUGUGGCGAUGUUUCACUGCUCAGAAUGGAUUCGCCAGCUCAAAAACGUUCGUAUUAUAUUUAUAUUUUACUACACCACCACUGCCUCUGCCAGCUGUGCUGUCGCUGGAAAACAGCCUGCUU
ensembl:lncRNA